rnacentral:rRNA from 1 species
GUAGGUGGCAAGCGUUGUCCGGAAUUAUUGGGCGUAAAGCGCGCGCAGGCGGUUCUUUAAGUCUGAUGUGAAAGCCCACGGCUCAACCGUGGAGGGUCAUUGGAAACUGGAGAACUUGAGUACAGAAGAGGAAAGCGGAAUUCCACGUGUAGCGGUGAAAUGCGUAGAGAUGUGGAGGAACACCAGUGGCGAAGGCGGCUCUCUGGUCUGUAACUGACGCUGAGGCGCGAAAGCGUGGGGGGAGCAAACAGGAUUAGAUACCCUGGUAGUCCACGCCGUAAACGAUGAGUGCUAAGUGUUAGGGGGUUUCCGCCCCCCCCUUAGUGCUGCAGCUAACGCAUUAAGCACUCCGCCUGGGGAGUACGGCCGCAAGGCUGA